rnacentral:rRNA from 1 species
GGGAGGCAGCAGUGGGGAAUAUUGCACAAUGGGCGCAAGCCUGAUGCAGCCAUGCCGCGUGUAUGAAGAAGGCCUUCGGGUUGUAAAGACUUUCAGCAGUGAGGAAGGUGGGUAUGUUAAUAGCAUAUUCAUUUGACGUUAGCUGCAGAAGAAGCACCGGCUAACUCCGUGCCAGCAGCCGCGGUAAUACGGAGGGUGCGAGCGUUAAUCGGAAUUACUGGGCGUAAAGCGCAUGCAGGUGGUUUGUUAAGUCAGAUGUGAAAGCCCCGGGGCUCAACCUCGGAAUUGCAUUUGAAACUGGCAAACUAGAGUACUGUAGAGGGGGUAGAAUUUCAGGUGUAGCGGUGAAAUGCGUAGAGAUCUGAAGGAAUACCGGUGGCGAAGGCGGCCCCCUGGACAGAUACUGACACUCAGAUGCGAAAGCGUGGGGAGCAAACAGGAUUAGAUACCCUGGUAG